rnacentral:rRNA from 1 species
GAAGCGAACGCGGUGAACUGAAACAUCUAAGUAACCGCAGGAAAAGAAAUCAACCGAGAUUCCCAAAGUAGUGGCGAGCGAAAUGGGAUGAGCCUUGCACUCUUUAUUUGUAUUGUUAGCCGAACGCUCUGGAAAGUGCGGCCAUAGCAGGUGAUAGCCCUGUAGGCGAAAACAGUAUGAAAGAACUAGGUGUGCGACAAGUAGGGCGGGACACGUGAAAUCCUGUCUGAAGAUGGGGGGACCAUCCUCCAAGGCUAAAUACUCGUGAUCGACCGAUAGUGAACCAGUACCGUGAGGGAAAGGCGAAAAGAACCCCGGGAGGGGAGUGAAAUAGAUCCUGAAACCGCAUGCAUACAAACAGUCGGAGCCUCGUAAGGGGUGACGGCGUACCUUUUGUAUAAUGGGUCAGCGACUUACGUUCAGUAGCAAGCUUAACCGUAUAGGGCAGGCGUAGCGAAAGCGAGUCCGAAUAGGGCGUUCAGUUGCUGGGCGUAGACCCGAAACCAGGUGAUCUAUCCAUGGCCAGGAUGAAGGUGCGGUAACACGUACUGGAGGUCCGAACCCACUAACGUUGAAAAGUUAGGGGAUGAGCUGUGGAUAGGGGUGAAAGGCUAAACAAACCUGGAAAUAGCUGGUUCUCUCCGAAAACUAUUUAGGUAGUGCCUCGUGUCUCACCUUCGGGGGUAGAGCACUGUCAUGGUUGGGGGGUCUAUUGCAGAUUACCCCGCCAUAGCAAACUCCGAAUACCGAAGAGUGCAAUCACGGGAGACAGACAUCGGGUGCUAACGUCCGGUGUCAAGAGGGAAACAACCCAGACCGCCAGCUAAGGUCCCCAAAUAUAGCUAAGUGGGAAACGAAGUGGGAAGGCUAAAACAGUCAGGAGGUUGGCUUAGAAGCAGCCACCCUUUAAAGAAAGCGUAAUAGCUCACUGAUCGAGUCGUCCUGCGCGGAAGAUGUAACGGGGCUAAGCUAUAUACCGAAGCUGCGGAUGCGUGCUUGCACGCAUGGUAGGAGAGCGUUCCGUAAGCCUGCGAAGGUGCCUUGUAAAGGGUGCUGGAGGUAUCGGAAGUGCGAAUGCUGACAUGAGUAGCGAUAAAGGGGGUGAAAGGCCCCCUCGCCGUAAGCCCAAGGUUUCCUACGCAACGUUCAUCGGCGUAGGGUGAGUCGGCCCCUAAGGCGAGGCAGAAAUGCGUAGCUGAUGGGAAGCAGGUCAAUAUUCCUGCACCAUUGUUAGAUGCGAUGGGGGGACGGAUCGCGGAAGGUUGUCCGGGUGUUGGAAGUCCCGGUCGCUGCAUUGGAGAAGGCGCUUAGGCAAAUCCGGGCGC